UUAUUUGAGAGUUUGAUCCUGGCUCAGGAUGAACGCUGGCGGCGUGCCUAACACAUGCAAGUUGAGCGAUUUACUUCGGUAAAGAGCGGCGGACGGGUGAGUAACGCGUGGGUAACCUACCCUGUACACACGGAUAACAUACCGAAAGGUAUGCUAAUACGGGAUAAUAUAUUUGAGAGGCAUCUCUUGAA
rnacentral:rRNA from 1 species